CUAUACAUGCAAGUCGUACGCACUGGCCCAACUGAUUGAUGGUGCUUGCACCUGAUUGACGAUGGAUUACCAGUGAGUGGCGGACGGGUGAGUAACACGUAGGUAACCUGCCCCGGAGCGGGGGAUAACAUUUGGAAACAGAUGCUAAUACCGCAUAACAACAAAAGCCACAUGGCUUUUGUUUGAAAGAUGGCUUUGGCUAUCACUCUGGGAUGGACCUGCGGUGCAUUAGCUAGUUGGUAAGGUAACGGCUUACCAAGGCGAUGAUGCAUAGCCGAGUUGAGAGACUGAUCGGCCACAAUGGAACUGAGACACGGUCCAUACUCCUACGGGAGGCAGCAGUAGGGAAUCUUCCACAAGGGCGCAAGCCUGAUGGAGCAACACCGCGUGAGUGAAGAAGGGUUUCGGCUCGUAAAGCUCUGUUGUUGGAAAGAACGUGCGUGAGAGUAACUGUUCACGCAGUGACGGUAUCCAACCAGAAAGUCACGGCUAACUACGUGCCAGCAGCCGCGGUAAUACGUAGGUGGCAAGCGUUAUCCGGAUUUAUUGGGCGUAAAGCGAGCGCAGGCGGUUGCUUAGGUCUGAUGUGAAAGCCUUCGGCUUAACCGAAGAAGUGCAUCGGAAACCGGGCGACUUGAGUGCAGAAGAGGACAGUGGAACUCCAUGUGUAGCGGUGGAAUGCGUAGAUAUAUGGAAGAACACCAGUGGCGAAGGCGGCUGUCUGGUCUGCAACUGACGCUGAGGCUCGAAAGCAUGGGUAGCGAACAGGAUUAGAUACCCUGGUAGUCCAUGCCGUAAACGAUGAGUGCUAGGUGUUGGAGGGUUUCCGCCCUUCAGUGCCGGAGCUAACGCAUUAAGCACUCCGCCUGGGGAGUACGACCGCAAGGUUGAAACUCAAAGGAAUUGACGGGGGCCCGCACAAGCGGUGGAGCAUGUGGUUUAAUUCGAAGCUACGCGAAGAACCUUACCAGGUCUUGACAUCUUGCGCUAACCUUAGAGAUAAGGCGUUCCCUUCGGGGACGCAAUGACAGGGGUGCAUGGCGUCGUCACUCGGUCGUGAGAUUGGGUUAAUCCCGCAACGAGCGCAACCCUUGUUACUAGUUGCCAGCAUUAAGUUGGGCACUCUAGUGAGACUGCCGGUGACAAACCGGAGGAAGGUGGGGACGACGUCAGAUCAUCAUGCCCCUUAUGACCUGGGCUACACACGUGCUACAAUGGACGGUACAACGAGUCGCAAACUCGCGAGAGUAAGCUAAUCUCUUAAAGCCGUUCUCAGUUCGGACUGUAGGCUGCAACUCGCCUACACGAAGUCGGAAUCGCUAGUAAUCGCGGAUCAGCAUGCCGCGGUGAAUACGUUCCCGGGCCUUGUACACACCGCCCGUCACACCAUGGGAGUUUGUAACGCCCAAAGUCGGUGGCCUAACCUUUAUGGAGGGAGCCGCCUAA
rnacentral:rRNA from 1 species